UACGGAGGGUGCAAACGUUGCUCGGAAUCAUUGGGCGUAAAGCGCACGUAGGCGGACUGCUAAGUCGGACGUGAAAUCCCUCAGCUUAACUGAGGAAGUGCAUUCGAAACUGACAGUCUUGAGUACAGGAGAGGGUCGCGGAAUUCCCGGUGUAGAGGUGAAAUUCGUAGAUAUCGGGAGGAACACCAGUGGCGAAGGCGGCGAUCUGGGUGGAUACUGACGCUGAGGUGCGAAAGCGUGGGGAGCAAACAGG
rnacentral:rRNA from 1 species